rnacentral:rRNA from 1 species
CAGUAGCCGCGGUAACACCGAGGGUGCAAGCGUUAAUCGGAAUUACUGGGCGUAAAGCGCGCGUAGGUGGUUUGUUAAGUUGGAUGUGAAAUCCCCGGGCUCAACCUGGGAACUGCAUCCAAAACUGGCAGGCUAGAGUAGGGCAGAGGGUGGUGGAAUUUCCUGUGUAGCGGUGAAAUGCGUAGAUAUAGGAAGGAACACCAGUGGCGAAGGCGACCACCUGGGCUCAUACUGACACUGAGGUGCGAAAGCGUGGGGAGCAAACAGGAUUAGAUACCCGUGUAGUCCCUGUCUCUUAUAC